CUGCUUGCCUCGGCAGCACCAGUACUCAAACUGGGCCGUACAGAGAAGGUUAGCAUGCCCCUUGUGCGAGGAUGACGUGCAAAUGCGUGAAGCAGCCCAUAUUUUG
ensembl:snRNA U6 U6 spliceosomal RNA